GAUGAACGCUGGCGGCGUGCCUAAUACAUGCAAGUCGAGCGAACAGACGAGGAGCUUGCUCCUCUGACGUUAGCGGCGGACGGGUGAGUAACACGUGGAUAACCUACCUAUAAGACUGGGAUAACUUCGGGAAACCGGAGCUACUACCGGAUAAUAUAUUGAACCGCAUGGUUCAAUAGUGAAAGACGGUUUUGCUGUCACUUAUAGAUGGAUCCGCGCCGCAUUAGCUAGUUGGUAAGGUAACGGCUUACCAAGGCAACGAUGGGUAGCCGACCUGAGAGGGUGAUCGGCCACAUGGGAACUGAGACACGGUCCCGACUCCUACGGGAGGCAGCAGUAGGGAAUCUUCCGCAAUGGGCGAAAGCCUUACAGAGCAACGCCGCGUGAGUGAUGAAGGUCUUCGGAUCGUAAAACUCUGUUAUUAGGGAAGAACAAAUGUGUAAGUAACUAUACACGUCUUGACGGUACCUAAUCAGAAAGCCACGGCUAACUACGUG
rnacentral:rRNA from 1 species